ACUCCUACGGGAGGCAGCAGUGGGGAAUAUUGCACAAUGGGCGCAAGCCUGAUGCAGCCAUGCCGCGUGUGUGAAGAAGGCUUUCGGGUUGUAAAGCACUUUCAGUUGUGAGGAAAGGUUAGUCGCUAAUAUCGGCUAGCUGUGACGUUAGCAACAGAAGAAGCACCGGCUAACUCCGUGCCAGCAGCCGCGGUAAUACGGAGGGGGUUAGCGUUGUUCGGAAUUACUGGGCGUAAAGCGCGCGUAGGCGGACUAUUAAGUCAGGGGUGAAAUCCCCGGGGCUAACCCCCGGAACGGCCCUUNAUACUGGUAGUCUUGAGUUCGAGAGAGGUGAGUGAAUUCCGAGUGUAGAGGUGAAAUUCGUGAUAUUCGGAGGAACACCAGUGGCGAAGGCGGCUCACUGGCUCGAUACUGACGCUGAGGUGCGAAAGUGUGGGGAGCAAACAGGAUUAGAUACCCUGGUAGGAUAGCGU
rnacentral:rRNA from 1 species